rnacentral:lncRNA from 1 species
AUGUCUCUUAAAUGGUGGAUCCCAGCGUCUUCAGUUCGGUCCCUGGAAAAAGAAAAAAGAUCAUUCCCUCCAGUCCCCGUUGACCUCAUUCUUGUCAGGAUGAGUGAGGAAAAACAGUUACGGGCAAGGCAGUACCUCCGUUCAUGGAGAUCUGCUAAACAAGUGAUGAAUAGGAUAGCUGAAAGCACUGCCAGUGUUUGUGUCACAGAACACCAUGUGGCUGAUGCCAGCUUGUCCAGCAGUCCAUCCGGUGUUCUUGCGCCUAUUGGUGACAUGGACAACUCCUUGGACUUGGAUGAGUCAUUUGAGGAUCGUUCUGCUUUGGAGGAUGACCUCGAUGACUGGAUGGAUGUUGAUCCCUCUGAUGAUGAGGAGGAAGAGGUUUUUGGGGAUGACCUGGAGGCGUCCGACCAGCGUCCGGCAUCGCUCGCAUCUGACCUCGCUAGCUGGGCUUGCCAGUUUCAGGUGAAACACAAUGCUGUUGAUGACCUUUUGAAAGUUUUGAGAGGUCACGGACACACUGACCUGCCUUCCACCACCAGGACACUCCUGAAGACACCAAGGGAGGUCAGGAUCACAUCAAAGUCUGGUAUGGAGCAUGUCCAUUUUCCUAUCAAGGACAAAUUGCAACAGACUCUAUUGAGAUACCCAGCAGACCAGGUCCCCGACUGUGUUGACCUUUCCUUCAACGUAGAUGGGCUACCUCUGUUUAAGAGCUCAGGAAGAACAAUGUGGCCCAUCCUUUGUGCUGUCCAUUUAAAACCAGUGUCAGUCUUCCCUAUCACCCUGACUUGUGGAGGUUCGAAGCCACAGAAUCUGGAAUUCCUGGAAGACAUGGUGAUGGAUGUCAACAACCUCCUGUCCAGUGGCCUGCAACAUAGGAACAAAACAAUAAAAUUCAACAUUCUAUGUUUUGUGUGCGAUGCUCCUGCAAAGGCCUUUGUGAAGAAUGUUAAACUUUGCACAGGCUAUUAUGGGUGUGACCGGUGUGUGCAGAGGGGUGAGUGGUAUGAGAAGGUUACUUACCAAGACACAGAGGUGGUGGCUCGUAGUGACGACUCCUUCCGCCAACAGACACAGGGCGAGCAUCAUCAUGGCAGCACCCCGCUUUUGGAUUUACCCAUUAACAUGAUCGGUGCAUUUCCCAUCGAUUACAUGCACCAGGCAUGCUUGGGUGUAAUGAAGAGGCUUCUCUUCAUGUGGUGCAGAGGAGUGAAGGGCCUGAAGAUGUCGGCAACCCAAAUAGAGGAGGUCAGCAGCAGGCUCACCAACCUCCGUCCACACAUCCCUUCCAGCUUCGCCCGCAAACCGAGAGAUCUUAAAGAGCUUGAGAGAUGGAAGGCAACGGAACAUAGGCAGUUUAUGUUAUAUACAGGAAAGAUUGUGCUGAAGGGGGUCCUUAAAGAUGAAUUUUUCAGCCACUUCAUGACAUUCAGUGUGGCAAUGAACAUACUUGUAAGUCCAGCAUUGGUCGAGCAACACUGGAGAUAUGCUGCUGAUCUCCUCCGAUUCUUUGUUGAGAGAGGCCGAGAACUUUAUGGUAACCAGUUUCUGGUCUACAACGUGCACUCAAUGUUGCACAUUGUGGAGGAUGCCGUGACCUUUGGAGGAUUGGACAAUUGUAGCGCUUUUAAAUUUGUAAAUUGUCUCAAGAAAAUAAAGAGGAUGGUAAGGAGUGGAAGAUGCCCCCUGUCACAAGUGGUGAAAAGGCUUGAGGAAUGCGCUGGACAGCCAAUGGAGCAUGGUAGGCAGAGGUCCAAUUCUUCUUUUAUUUUGAAUCGCCGCGAAUGCUGCGAGGUCAUAGAGGAGAGGGACGGAAGCCAGCUUUUCCGUGUAUACCAGCACCCAGAACCACUUUUCAGUGUCCCUUGUGACUCCACAUUAAUCGGAGUACUGAAGUACAAGAACAAUGACACCGUUUUGAGAUGGAUCCAAAAUGACAACCUGAAAAGAAAGGCAAUCAAGAUUCCUGUGGGGGAAAAAAUCCUCUUCAUGGCCAUUCUUCAUGACAUUGCAGUAUGUUGUAUUUUGCUCAGUGUAUUAUCAUUGCAAUUUCUUGUACAGACACAAUUAUUCUUUACUGUAUUAAAUUAACCUCUCUGUUCUUGAUUACAGAAUGUAUAGCAUCGUCGAAUUUUUGGGGGAAAGGACUGUUGGCAUAGUGGCCAGUAAUUGGAUUAUAAAAGAGGGAGAUGUAAGUACAUGCGAAAAACCUUUAUGUCAAUCAUUUCAAAAAUUCUAUGCAAGUUCUGCAAAACUAUUUUGUUUUCCAUUUCAGAAGACGUGCAGCUACUGGCCACUCCACAAGCCCACACAGAGGGCAAAGGACAAAGAUUUGCCCGAUCCUAAAACCUGGCUAAAAAGGCCAAUAAAAAUAUUUGUGUGUUAAUGGGCGACAAAUAACAAGUGGUGACAUGCAACACAUUUAAAAGAGUGUAAUUUCUAAUUGUUUUGGCCCACCUGACUGUUUAGAUGAUUGGGAUCAGGCCGUCAGGAGGAACAAGAGGGCGGAGACAAAGUCCUGUGUGGAGACAGGAAAUGAGGACAUAGGGAGGCGCAUCAUAGUCAAACCCCAAAAAUGUAUUCACACCGGUAUAUCUGCACAUCCUUGUGUACUGUAUUAACUUAGUGUUAAAAGUGCAAGCAGCAAUUCUAAACAAUGUGUAAACAUGUAACACUGUUAUUUACUUUCGGCUAAUAUGAUUCUGUUCAGGUGAAAAGAGAACAAAGAAACGAAAUGGGAAAAAGGCAGGACAAGGUCCACAUUUCAGGACUUCCCUUCCUCCUCCACCCCAGAUAGAAUCCCCCAUUCCACGGCGUAGCGCACUACAAGUAUCUUCACCCCCUGUGACUGAUGACGGUAGAGUUUUGCAAGGGAAUGAUGGUUAAAAACAAAUACAAAUAAUUGCAUAGAAGUCAAGAAGACACUAUGUUUCGAAACAAAAACACAUAACCUAAAUUCUUAUCUUGUUCUUUCUGUAGAUUACUCCCCUCCUUCACCGGCAAGAGACGUUUUUACAGAAAAUGAUGGUAAAGUUAUGCAUGGUAAUGAUGACGAAUGAUGAUGACAUAACAGUAAUUCUAUGAGCCAAGACAACAAAGAGUUUGAAACCAAAAAAAAACAUUGAAUUAUUAUUUUGUACUUCCUGCAGAUGAUUCGAUUGCGUCUUCAUUUGAAACGCCAUUGCCUAUCUCUACUGGGGACGGUAAAGUGGCGGGUGGAGAGGGUGGUUAAAACCAAACUAGUAACUCUUAUCAACAGGUUAUGACAGUCAUCUGUCUAUACUAACCCUACACAUUAUGCUUUAUACACAUUACUUAGGUGACCGAAGGGAGAGAGAAACCAUACCAAUCUGGGCAAAGAAUAUUAACGGUAAUACAUGUAUUGAACUGUAUUGCACUGUAUGCAAAUGACACCAAAUACUACUAAAUACACUCCUCUCAUCUCAACAUAUAUUUUUUACAGCGACAUUGGAGGUUCUGCUCCGAAGGCUUGAGACUGUUGAGCAGAAUCAGAGAGAGGCUCUAUUAUUGCUACGGGCAAAUCGACAUGGGGACCCUGGGGAAGCUAGUGUCGAGUUACUGCAGGCGCAAACUCAGGCCGAACUACAGGAACUCGAGGAGCACCUUAAAAAUAGAGAAUGUACGAAUAAUGGUGAAGUGACUUUAGGCUAUAUUGUACACAUGCCACCAAGUGUGCCACAUGGCCCUGCCAUUGAGCUUUUUUCAUCUUUAGUUCCCUGUUGUUAGCUAAGUAGUUAGAGAUGAGCAGUCCAUCUUCAAAUACCUUAAUUUGGUUCACCCCCCUCAAAAGAAAACACCACCAACACCACAUGAAAAAUACAAUGCAAAUACUUGCCUUAACCAUGGUUGUUUGAUUUCCUUAGAUUUCCCAUCUGAGCCUAGUUGGGGGGUCCAAUCCUGGGGAGUGUGUGAGGAGGGUGUUGCGCUCUGUGGCCUCAAACUUUGUUUGGAGCAGCUACAGCCUUAGGGGAAAGAAGGGGAAGAUGCCACUGCUUGGCACAGCAGUGGGCAGUACCAUCAAACGUAAGUCUAAAUAUGUGCAAACAAAUCUAUUUAGCUGUUUCAGCUAUUUUUCUACACCUUUUAGCUGAUGUGAUCCGUUUCUUCCAAAGACUCCUCAUUUAGGGAUGGACAUGAUUAAUCGACGAUCGACUAAUUGAUCAUUAAGAAUUUCGUCGAUGACGUACAUUUUUCAUCGAUAAAACUAAUGCUAAAAAAUAUCUUCACACGGUGUGUCUUUUUACAAUUACCAUUCGUAUUGUUGUUCAGCAGAGAAAUACAGACGGACCAAUUGCGAACUACUGCAACUGCUGAUGCCAUCUCUCCA